UGAGCAAUCUGCCCUUCUCAUCGGAAUAAGCGUUGGAAACGACGUCUAAUGCCGAAUACGACCUCCUUUCACAUGAUCGGAGGUGGAAAGCUCCGGCGGAGAAGGAUGAGCUCGCGGCCUAUCAGCUAGUUGGUGUGGGUAACGGCCCACCAAGGCGACGACGUGUAGCCGGCCUGAGAGGGUGACCGGCCACACUGGGACUGAGACACGGCCCAGACUCCUAGGAG
rnacentral:rRNA from 1 species